rnacentral:tRNA from 1 species
GCGGGUGUGUUGUAGUGGUAGCAAACGAUGUUCCCAACAUUGAAGCGGCGGUCCGAUUCCGCUCACCCGCU